GUAGUUUAAUUCCAGUGAGAAAAAAUGCACGUGUGGUGCAGGUCCAUUGUUCCCAAACGGCUUAACUCACACUUUGGGGAGGGGACAAAGCAUCUUAUGGACAUAAAGUUCCCCGGAACAUUCUUGAGAAAAUGCUUGCCUGGGAAUGCGUUUCCGCCUUCCCUCUCUGACUAAGGGAAAACUACACUUAGAGCUGGAAGAAAGGGUUUGGGGCUGAAAAAUUAGAGUAACUGGCCCUGGAAGCUGCCGACUGGCCAGAUGUUGUAGGGAUGCAACUUGUUGAGUUGUGGAUGUGAUUUCUUUGGAGGCAUAUACCACGAAUCCUUUGAGACCUAAGGAGAAACAUAGUCUUAUUUUGAUUCAGUAUAAAAACUCAACUUGGGUUGAUUUCAGGGGAGCCAAGACUGGCCUACAGAGGAAGUAUGCAUAUUUGGAAGAGCUGGGAAAGCCCUUAAGAAAGCUCCUUCAUGUAUCGAGUAUCUCCCAGCUGGACAUUAGGAGGUCACUAUUUGAUUUAUUUCUUGCGAUUAAAUCGGUGCUUCAGCCAAGACUGUUUCCUUCAGUGACAAGUGUCUCUGGAGGGAUGAACGAGAGAGGCAGACCUGUGUGAUGGCCAAGCACCCAGCUUCAAAGUGUCCUAUCUGGUGCCAUCCAGGCUCUGCCACUUCUUAACAAUAAUCUGGGAACGUCCCUGUCCUCUAAGUCUAAAUGUCUUCAUCUGUAAAAUGAAGGUAAUAGUAAUGUCCACUUCUUAAAAAUCUAGUAAAGAUUAUAAUGUUGCAUAAAUAAAGCAUUUUGCUCAGUGACUAACUAGCCCACAGUAAGUGCUCAAUAAACCUUAGCUAUUACGUAUGACAGGCUAUUAUUAACCCUUAUUGGCCCUUAUCAUUAGAGCACAUUUAAUUUCUCAGAUUGAUUUCCACAGCGAUAGCUCCCUAGGAAUAUUGGACAGGACAGAGGGAGAGAGAGAGAAAUCUUCCUUGCUCCAUGAGGAAGAUACAGGGAUAGUGUGUAUACAGGUCAGGCAAGAGAGGCAAGUUUAGGCAUGAGAUGUACCUAGAUUCCAGUCCUGAUUUUGCUACUUGAAGUUCUUGGGAUAAUGGGAAUUUACUUAGUUCUCUGGGCCUCAGGUUCUAUUUCCAUAAAAAAGUGGAAAGUAAUCCUACCAUCUUUCUAAAGCACUAGCUGGAAUAAGGUAGGGAGAGAAUAAAUGAGUACAUGAUAAAUAACAGCUACCUUAUGUGGGGCUCAACUCAUUGGAGCUCUUCUUCAUGGGAAGGCGCUGGGUACCAGGUGGGAGCUGAGCAUCCCAGGGAAGAAGACAGCGCAGUGUGGCAGGUGGUCCUUAGAAUGGGAGAGAGAAGUGAAUCAAGGACAAUCCUCACUUCACAAUUUUAUUCUAAGUCACUGUCAAAGUAUUUUGGUUACACUGAAGCUUUCUUUUCUUUUUCAUCAUAUCAUGGACAUAUAUGGGAGAUAUAUGGGACAUAUAUGAUGGCUUUUAAUGCUUUGGACUCAGCUUGCUGCAAACUGCACACAAAUCUGAUGAAGGAGUGAACACAGCUGGCGUCAGAGGCUGGGAGGUGAAGGCCCUCAUCGAUUGAGUGGGGACAUGGUGGGCAGGAGGAGAGACUGGCGGGGAUACAGCGUGAGUGUGUAGGGAGGGGGAUAUUUUGAGAUUAAGUGUAAUUAUCCACCAUGACUCUUGCCAUAAAGAAAAAAACGGCUGAAAAGUCAUGUUGUAAAGUAUGGAAACUAAAGAACUGUCUCAUUUGCAAUGAAACACCCUCUUGUUUCAAAUAACAUUCUAUUUUUUUCCAAGUUGCUAAUACAUUUAGACUGUUCAAAAUCAAAAUGAUAUAAAAGGUACACACAAAGAAGUCCACUUCACAUCUGUCCCCUCCCAUCUGUCCUAUCCUCUCUCACUUCCCACUCUUUGUACUACUUUUGGUUUGUUGGCGUAUUUACCUUUCCAACAGGUCUUUUUACAUACGCAGAUAGAACAAAAUAUACUGUUACCCAUCCUCCUCAUUUUAUUACACAAAAAUGCAGCCCACGUCGUAUUGAGUUUUGCAUGCUGUUUUCUCUGCUUAACAGGACAGCCCAAAUGCCUCUGUACAUCAGUGCAGAAAAGUUGCUCAUUAUUUUUUUACAGCUGCAUAGGAUUGAUUUUGUAAAUAUGCCAUGUUUUAUUUGGGUCCUAUCCAAACUCCGUCACAGUAAGUAGUCUUGCACGUUUUCAUUUCCUAUGUGUGCAGAUGUAACUGUAAGAAAGAUGCUCAGGUGUGGGACUGCCAGGUCUAAGGAUCACAGAACCUGUCAUGUUGGCAAGUAGUGCCAGAGUCCCCUGCACAGGGCCUGUGCCAUUUUUCUCUUCAUGGUAAAGUAAUGGCAUUUUUAUUUGUAUUUCUCAUAUUAAUUUGUAUUCCAUUUGGCUAUGAAUAUUUUUCUAUGAAAUGUCUGUUCAUGUGCUUUGCCUGUUUUUCUGUUGGGUUCUUCCUAAUCUUCUUUACUCCUGGGAGCUCCUUAGGAGUUCAGUAUCUAUUCAGGAGAACAGUAUUAGUCAUUUAUAGGAUUUGCAAUUUUUUUCCAGCUUAUUAUUUUGUCAUUUACUUUGCUUAUGGUGUAUUUGUCAUGCUAAUGGAUUUUAAAUUACAUAUGUAUUUUAUCGUCUUUGAUUUUAUGACAUGAAUUUUCAGUCAUAUAAGGGACUUCCCUACUCCAAGGUUAGCAAGGAAUUCACUUAUGUUGUCUUCUGUGACUUUUAAAAACUUCAUUAUACUUUUAAAUACCUGCUAUAAUUGAAGGUUUUUCCCUAUGUAUAAUGUGAGGUAUAGAUCCAAUUUUAUUUUAUCUUUUCUUUAGGUGGACAAGUUGUCCCAUUAAUCUAAAGAUCCAUUUUUUCUAUUGAUACAGAUGUCAUCUUUAGCAUACACUAUAUUACUGAAUGUGUGUCUAUUUUUAAAAUUUUCUUCAAAUCUACAGGUCUUUCUAUUUAUGUACCAACCAGACAUGUAGUUAUUAAGACUCUGUGGUGAGUUUUAAUAUCUGGUAAACUGAAUCUCCCACAUUCUUUCUUCUUUUAGUUUAUCUAGCUAUUUAAAUUUAUUUUGCCACAUGAACUUUAUGGUGUUAUUUGGGGCAGAUAAUGCCAUAUUUAGAAGUUAACUUUGGGAGAACUGGCACCUUUUCUUUAUUGAGUCUUUCUAUCCAUGAUAUCUAAGAUAUGUCUUUAUAUACGUUGAAGUUCUAGGGGAGGAAAAACUAUUCCCCUCUAACUGCCAGGUUCUUCAGCUGGGGCCCUGCAAUGAGACCGACAAAAGACUAACAAGAGGAAAAACACUUUAUUUUUUAUUUAUUUAUUUUUAAUAUUUGAGGAAGUUCUUGAAUUUGUAGGUGGCUGAUGUAGUUAUAAGAUUUCUUCCAAUUAUUAUUAUUAGUUUUAAGAAGAUGUUGGGGGUAGGAGUUUAGUAAUUAAUUAAUUAAUUUUUGCUGUGUUGGGUCUUUGUUUCUGUGCGAGGGCUUUCUCUAGUUGUGGCAAGCGGGGGCCACUUUUCAACCUGGUGCGCGGGCCUCUCACUAUCGUGGCCUCUCUUGUUGUGGAGCACAGGCUCCAGACGCGCAGGCUCAGUAGUUGUGGCUCACGGGCCUAGUUGCUCCGCGGCAUGUGGGAUCCUCCCAGACCAGGGCUCGAACCCGUGUCCCCUGCAUUAGCAGGCAGACUCUCAACCACUGCGCCACCAGGGAAGCCCGGAAAAAACGCUUUAUUAACACAUGCUGUACUCAUCAGUGAUGAAUAACUCAAAGGGGUGGUUAGAACUGGGGCUUACAUAGUAUCUUAGCAAAAGAACAAUACAUUUGUUAAGAAGUGACAAGACAAAGGAUAAGGGGUUUAGGUUUUUAAGGGCUUGUAAACUGUGGGAAGGUAGAUACAUGUGUGAAACCAAUGGAAGAUGAGGGCUAGUUAGUAAGAUUUGUUAUGUAGAUUUCUCUGGGCUGAUAAGAGUCUAAAGUUGUCUCUGUUGAUUAAGAAUUGUCCUGCCCUGGGGUUCCCUAGAGGCGCAGUGGUUGAGAGUCCGCCUGCCGAUACAGGGGACACGGGUUUGUGCCCCGGUCUGGGAAGAUCCCACAUGCCGCGGAGCGGCUGGGCCCGUGAGCCAUGGCCGCUGAGCCUGCGCGUCCGGAGCCUGUGCUCCGCAGCGGGAGAGGCCACAACAGUGAGAGGCACGUGUACCGCAAAAAAAAAAAAAAAAAAAAAAAAAAAUUGUCCUGCCUUUCUUGGUAGAGGAAGGGAGGGCAGAAAUGUUUUGUGUGUGUGUGUGUGUGUGUGUGUGUGUGUGUGUCUGCUUCUUUUCAAUUGCCUUUAGCUCAGAAUAAUCCUUACAUCAGAGUGGCAUAUUUUAGGGUGGUAUGCUCUGAACCCCUGCAAAGUCUAUUGUUAGGUUCUUCAGGAGGGCUUUACAAUUUUCCUCACAUGAAGUUGCACAUUUAAAACAUCUUUUUCUAGGUAUUUUAUCUUUUUAGAUGCUACUGUAAAUAUGGUCUUCUUUUCCAUCUUAUCUUCAGACUAGUUGUCUUAAGAAAUUAGGAAGCACCGUGAGAGAGACUAUAUGUUGAAAUUAAGUAAUUUAUAAGGUCAGUCAAGGAAAGCCACAAUGAAUCAGCUUCAGAACCAGUUCAGUUAACGAAAUUUGUACAGACGCUUGUCAGUACCAUGAAGUUACUGUAAUACAUGCUGGUUAUGUAGCUUCUAAAACCUGAACAACACAUACAACACACAACACAAAACAAUUGUUAUUGAAAAUGGUAGAAUGCCAAAUCACAAUAGGAGACAGAAUUUUAAAGGGGUCUUGGUCUCAUUUAUAACUUGUCACUGCCUGUGUUUUUUUUUUUUUGGCCACACCACGUGGUAUGCAGGAUCCUAGUUCCCCAACCAGGGAUCAGACCCACAGCCAUUGCAGUGGAAGCAGAGUCUUAACCACUGGACCACCAGGGAAGUCCUUGUCAUUGCCUUCUAAUGGGUGGCCUUAGUAUCUGAAGGGGCCGUCUCUUUUGCUGAGGUCUCGAUGUGAGCCUAGGAGUUAAGAGGAUGUUGGAUAGGGUGGAUAUAAAUUGUUCUGGUAAGAAAUAGAAGAGAUAUAGAUGCCUGGGGAAAUAUCCUGGAAUGUGAAAGCCUAGAGCUACCUGGGAUGGAAAUUGGAGGGGGAAGGACUGAGAAGGAACCCCUCUGGUUGGAUGAAAAGUUUGGGGUGGAAGAAACAUGCUGAAUUGGGAUGUUUGAAUUUGUGUGUUGAGAGCUGGGCUGUCUGACUUCCCUGUGAAAUGGUGGUUACUGGCUGAGAAGUCUAUCCUUAUGGAUAUCUGAACCUAUUUCUCCCCACUCUUCUCCAAGAAAACAAUCCAUAAACAUUUUUCCAAAAUUAGCCUUCCUGCAAAAGGAUGACUUCUCCCUGUUGCAUGUCUCAUCACGAGAGAAGAGUGUAACACUCAAUCCUGUUUGUGUGAUGAAUUUUGUGAUGAACAGGCAUGUGGAACAGUUUCUCUCAUUUCUAGCUGUCCACGCUAAUAAGCCUGAUUCUUGCUGCAUUUUGGAUGAGGAAGAGAAGGGCGUCGUUGGGCUCAUAUGCAUUUGCUGUGGCUCCACCCAGAUGUUCCACCAGGUGACCUCCAUGUGGAUGGGUGCCUGCUUCUUAUCAGCCUCUCUCACUCAAAAGCUCCAUUAGACUGCGGAUCUAGUCUACCCUGUUAACUGCUGUAUUCCCAGUGUUCAGAACAGUGUCACGUGGUAGGCCUUUAACAUUUGUUGAACAAGUGAAUAAAAUAUAGUUCAGCUUCUAUAUUUCUUUUGCUUUCUAAAGUUGCAGUUUGUAUAUGCUGCACUGGCUGAAAAUAUAGGUUCUGUAUAAAUUAGUUUAUCCUCAUUGCAAUAAUUAAAAAAUUGUAUGAUAAUAAUGAACUGACAAAAUGACUUUCAAUUUCCCUUUCUAAUCUUACUGUUUCCAUAUCAAAGGAUUUCAAGUGUUCCCGCAAAUCACCAUCGUCAUACAAACAAGUAAAGUAAAAAUCAACAUCUCAAAACAAUCCCAAGUUUUAAAAUUUAACAGCUGAGAGAAGGAAGUGAAGAUAGGAAGGGCUGGGCUUGGUUUGCGCUUGCAGUUUCUUUUCACUUGCUAAUGGAUACCUUACUUUUCCUCUUUAUGACAUGCAGACUGCGAUUUCCAGUAAUAUAUUUCAUUUAGUCCAGCUAUAAUAAAAUAUACCUUUUUUGUGAAUGCACCUAACAUCUACAAAGUACUGGAUGGGAAAUAGCUCAAAGCAGAAAAAUAUUUUGGUUAAAGACUGAAGCAAAAUACAUUAAAAAUUUACUUGAAAAUUUGUCAAGUUCAAAAACAUCUCUCACCAAAGGAAUAUUAACUAAUAUCCACUGAUUAAAUUAAAAAACUGAAAGAUGAAAAUUAUGUAGACAUUUAGCUCAAGAUACUCGAGAAAAAAAGACACAGUAAACAAAAAACAAGGGAAAGGAAGAAAUGAAAAUAAAUGUAGAAAUUAGUGAGUUAGAAGACAAGUACUCAUACUCUAAGGUAAAAAGCUAAUGAGCUUGACUAUGUCAAAAUUAAAGACUCCUGCUAAAUAAAAGGCAACAUAGAAAAGCUGAGAUGCACAGUAUAUUAAGAGAAGGUAUUUGCAAUAUUUAUAACUGACAAGUAAUAAAUCUAGAAAACACAAGGAAUUCCUGCAAAUGGAUAAAAACAGCAACAUCAACCACCACCACAAAUGAAAUACCCUGGAAGAAAAUGAGUGAAGAUUCCUAGAAAUAGAAAGCAGAAUGGAUAACAAGCAUAUCAACAGACGGUUAACCUCACGAUAGGAACUUGAUGAAAAUAAUGAGAAAACAUUAGCUCCCUUAAGAAGAGUAAAUAAUUAGAAAAUCAGGUUGUUGGGCCGCACCCCGCAGGCUUGCACGCCUUAUAGUUGCCCAGCCUUGAGACUGAAGAAAGAGACCAGAGACGGCGACAGAGACAGCAACAGUUCAUUGGACAGGGGUCUUACCGGUCUGCAGCAGAAGGGUCCUGGAGCGACAUCCCACUGUGAACGGCAGACCGCCAGGCAGGACAUGGCAACCAUUUGCACUAUCUGGGGAGAAGGAGGCUACCAUUUAUAGGCGGAAUUGACAUCUGAUUGGCCCAUCAAUUACCAGGGAAACCAGCGGCUGGGGCAGGGGCAAGCAUGUAGGCAGUGACUAAUUAAGCCCUGUAAUCAAGCGUAUUGGCGGUCCGGUGGUUAAGACUCCGCGCUUCCAAUUCAGGGCGUGAGGGUUCGUUCCCUGGUUGCGGAGCUAAGAUCCCGCAUGCUGCAUGGCGCGGCCAGGGGAAAAAAAAAAUAAAAGAGUAUUGGAUAGUCAUGUGUGUCAAGCAGGGCCAGUUGAGCAGGAGAUGUACAGAGAGCAAGAGAACAGCCAUCUUGAAUGGCCUGACUAUACGCAGAUAUUACCAUGUUAACAGGGAUGUGUGGGAAAUAAGAACCUCCUUGCACUGCAGGUGGAGAGCAACCUAGACAUAUUGGAGAAAUGGCCUGUCUACAUACUGCAAUUAGCAACAUUUCUGGGUAUAACUCAGGGCUAUGGCAUGGAAUUUUGGCCCUUUAGGGAAAAUUGUUUUCGGGUCUCCUAUCAAGGGUGGACUUCCGCAAACACCUUUACAUGGGAUUUGUACUGAUAUCACGCUAGGCCCUUGUACCCUUCCAGAUGGUUGGUAAUUUGUAUCAGCUCCUCCCACCCCUCAUUUUCCUUCUGUAUAGCACUGAGAAAGUCUCACACAGAUUCUUAAGGGGAUGUGUUAGAGGAUAUUCAUUGAAGAGAUGUCCAUGUUAGCAGGUGUCCAUCCCUAGGGGCAUGGAUAAGUUAAGGAUGGUGCAUAUAUGACAUGGAAUACUACACACCUGUUAGAAGAGAUGAAUUAGAUGAGUACUGUUGUAGGCUGAAUAAUGGUCCUCUAAGGAUGGCCACGUUCUAAUCCCCAGAACCUGUGCAGAUGUGAUUAAGUAAUGUUAAGGGUCUUGAGGUGGGGGAAGAGUAUCCUGGAUUACCCAGGUGGGCCCAGUGCAAUAACAGGAGUCCUUAACAGAGGAAGGCAGUAGGAUCACAGGAGUAGGAGAUGUAAUGAAGGAAGCAAGAAGCUGGCAUGAAGUAAGGAAGGGGUCAUGAGCCCAGGAAUGCAGGUGGCCUCUGGAAGCUGAAAAAGUCAAGGACACAAGAUUCUUCCCUCAGAGCCUUUGAAAAAACCAACCCUGGCAACGCUUUGACGUUAGCCCAGUGACUUAAGGUGGUAGUUGAUAUUAACUUUGAACUUCUGAUCUCCAGAACCAUACGAUAAUAACUUUUGUUGUUUUAAGCUUCUGAAUUUGAGAUAAUUUGAUAUGGCAGCAAUAAGAAACUAAUAUAAGCAUACAAUAUGGAUAGGUUUAAAAAUUACAGAGUGAAAUAAAUGAAAAAGAUAUUAUGUUUUUCUAGAAAACACUGAUCCAAGAACUGGAAGAAGUCUAUUUAGGAGAAAGGAAUGGGGGUAGGGAUUACAGUAAAGUAAAAAAAUAAAUAAAAGAAUUGAAAUAGAGAGUCUUGUACAGAGCAAUUGUAAAAAUGAGUCAUAAAGAAGGAAGUAUGAUUAACUCUUAUCUCUGCACCUGAGAUUCCCUGUAACACUCCUCCUAUCAAAUUAAAAAAAGAAAGAAAGAAAGAAUGAAAGAAAAAGAAAGAAAGCAAGCAGCGGAAUGGAGUGGCAUGGAAAAUAUGGAGGUGGUUCUAUGAAAAGAUCCCUGGUAUCCGUGACCAUGAAGAAAAGGAGGAAAACAGUAACACCAUUUGAUGUGGGAAAUGGGUUUUAACCACAGAUAUAGAGGAUACUUAGGCAGUAAAUAGUAUUUAUAACAUUAAGCAAAGAAAUUGAAUAUUUAGAUAAAAUCAGUACUCUUUUGCAGGAAUUUUAAAUUACCAAAAUUGACUCAAGGAAUGGCUUAAAAAUAAAAGCAAAAAAAUAACAAAAGAAACCAAUUAGGUGGAAAACCAAAGAGGAAUUUAAAAUAUUUCCUAAAAUGUCAUCCUCCUAAAGCCAGAUUUGGAUAUUUUGAAAGACUAAUUCCAUAAAUACCUUCCAAAAAAAGAUGAUUUCUAUGCUGUUUAAUCUGUUCCAGAUCAUUGAAAAUAAUGGAAACCUUCUAUUCUGCUCCCAAUAGUAAGCUCUGAUAGGAUUGGCAGCAUGAUAAAGAGGAACCUAUUUAGGAGUCAGAGGACCUAUUUUCCAAUCAUGCAUGUUUCACCUGUAAACUGAGUGCUCUCCAGCAGUUCACUUGGUACCCCCUGCUUUAUAGCUUCACCUGUCAAACAGGUGCUUGAUAAAUGCUGGUGUCAUCUGCCCUUCGUUUCCCGGGCCUAUCUCAGAUCUUCACUCUUGGGUUUGCUGUUGCCUCUCCUCUCCUACCUGCGUGUUCCAUCCCAGUCCAGCAUCUGAACCCAUUCUGACCUAGAAUAGGCUCAGUUCCCUUCUCCCCACCGCUUCAAUCCAAGACAGAUUUCGUCUUUGUGAUAUUCAUAGAUUCACAAUAAAGAAGAGGAGGCAAGGCUGACCACAAGGAUCAGCAUGGUUCCCUAACACUCACAGUUGCCCCACCCCCUACCCCAGGCCAUGCAUCUCAUUCCCUGAACAGCUCCAUUUCCAUGUCAGGGAUUCUGCUUUUGUUCCUGCCCAUCUGUCCAGUUCUAGCCCAGGGUUUCCCAACCUGGUGACUGUGGAUACCUGGAAGAUUUCAGGUAGCAGUUGUAAGAAAGUUAAUUCUUUUACAUUCCAACUAUUGUCUGUAGAUUGACUAACUCAUACAAAUAUGUGUUGUUACUUUUCCAAAUGAACUUGUAUCAAUCUUGGUUCAAUCAAGACACAAAAACCACACAGUAAUGUAAAACAGGGGGUGUUUAACAUAAAGAGUUAUCAAACUAUGAUAGAAGAGUAACUAUAAAGAUGUAAAAAGAACUUUAAAGGGCAUCCCAGGACGGAGGAAGUACCCAUGAGAGGACAACUUGGAAGGAGGGGUUCAGGCCUUGCUGGAGAAGGUGUGUUUGUAGCCCACUGGAUGUCAGAGAAGACGACUGUUUGCUGGGACCAGAGCUGCUCCAUAGUUCCUGGGCAAGCAGGGAGCAAUCUCCCAUCAGGGCCUGGGAACAGGCUGGGGGGCGGGCUUGCAAAGGAGUGGGGAAGGUGCAUGCUGUGAACUGAAUGUUUAUCCCCCCCCACCCUAUUCAUAUGCUGAAGCCCAAAUAUGAUGGUAUUUGGAGGUGAGGCCUUUGGGAGGUAAUUAGGUCAUGAGGGUGGAGCCCCAUGAUGGGAUUAGCACCCUUAAAGAGGAAGACAGCUAGUUCUUUUUCCCUCUCUUUCUCUUCUCUGCCAGAAGACUAGACACCCAUAAACUAGGAGGAAGUACUUCACUAAGAAUCUGACCACAUGGGCACCCUGAUCUCAGACUUCCAACCUCUAGAGUUGGGAAAAAUAAAUGUUUGUUGUUUAAGGCACCCAGUCUGUGUAUUCUGUUAUAGCAGCCUGAACUGACUAAGACAGUGUAAGACCUGGAAUGCUUGGUGCAUGUGUUGGGAAGACAGUGGGAGCAAUCCUCUGGCACAUAGGCAAGCUGCAGCUGGUUGGCAGGUGCAUGGAGGGAGCCAGGUUGCCUCUGUGGACAUUGUGAGGCCCAGAGCACGCAAUGCCCACAUUGGAGGGCUGUGCAAAGGAGGUCACAGCCCAGGCUGGGGCUGAAUAGUGUCUGGGGAACUGUAUCUCUGGGCAUGUGGCAGGGGCACACGUGGCACCACAGGCCAAUCAGGCAACAGGAACAAGAAGAAGCAGAACUGAGCACACCAGAGCCAGGACGGGAAGACCCCCCACCCCCAGCAAUGUUAUUCCAGCUCAAGCCCUCACUAACAAAGUUUAGCAUUGUGCUCACUGUCAGGGAGAAAUGCAUAAAGGUUACAGUUCACAUACGCAGAGCAGUUAUGGAAGGAAUUUGGAACUGAGAGGCAAUACAUUGAAAACUGGCACAGUACUGCUGGAAUCAGUGAAGUAUAAAUCCAUUUCAACGCUUUAGUGAUUCCUGGUUGAUUUUUAUCAUUAUGUAUUUCUCAAUUAACAGAUACAAAGAGGACAACUAUUAGCAUGGGGGGAGGGAGUCCCCAAGAUAUGUUGCUGUUGAACAUGAAUACUUUUCCCUUGACAAGCCCAACACUGGAUUCCAUCGUCAACUGACUUCCUCUUCUUUUGACCUUCCUGAGCCCAUGGAUCACCCUCCAUCAACUUUCUGUACAUCUCCAUCAGUCUAUGAAGCCCAGCUUUAAGAAGACCAAUCUGUGUGAAGUCCUGCCUCAACCAAGACCCAGGCACAACAUCAUCACUAGCCCAUAUUGUCUAUCACUCCUUUGCUACGGGAGCCUCUCCUGUGUUCCCCUCAUAGUGGCUAUUUGAGGAGCCUCUGUCUGCAAACUUCCUUCUUCCCUCUCCACAGAUGAUCAGACCACUUGUUUAAUUUUUUUUUUUUUUUUUUUUUUUUUACUGAGACGAUCCAAGUCAACAUGUGUGAGUUUCGUCAAUUAAACUUGUCUUCAAUUCAAAUGA